GUAGGUGGCAAGCGUUGUCCGGAAUUAUUGGGCGUAAAGCGCGCGCAGGCGGUCCUUUAAGUCUGAUGUAGAAACGCCCACGGCUCAACCGUGGGAGGGUCAUUGGAAACGUGGGGGACUUGAGUACAGAAGAGGAAAGCGGAAUUCCAAGUGUAGCGGUGAAAUGCGUAGAGAUUUGGAGGAACACCAGUGGCGAAGGCGGCUUUCUGGUCUGUAACUGACGCUGAGGCGCGAAAGCGUGGGGAGCAAACAGGAUUAGAUACCCUGGUAGUCCACGCCGUAAACGAUGAGUGCUAAGUGUUAGGGGUUUCCCGCCCCCUUAGUGCUGCAGCUAACGCAUUAAGCACUCCGCCUGGGGGAUACGGCCGCAAGGCUGA
rnacentral:rRNA from 1 species